rnacentral:rRNA from 1 species
GAUGAAGUCAUUUAGGCUGUGGUUUAGAUGAUGAAAGGUGGCCUCUCCGAGGAAGCUACCGUUUGGGGAUGAGCCCGCGUACCAUUAGCUUGUUGGUGGGGUAACGGCCUACCAAGGCGACGAUGGUUAGCUGGUCUGAGAGGAUGAUCAGCCACACUGGAACUGACACACGGUCCAGACUCCUACGGGAGGCAGCAGUGAGGAAUAUUGCGCAAUGGGCGAAAGCCUGACGCAGCAACGCCGUGUGAGGGAUGAAGGCUUUCGGGUCGUAAACCUCUGUCGGAAGGGAAGAACGGGUGGUGGUCUAAUAGGCCUCCAUUUUGACGGUACCUUUAGAGGAAGCACCGGCUAACUCCGUGCCAGCAGCCGCGGUAAUACGGAGGGUGCAAGCGUUAUUCGGAAUUAUUGGGCGUAAAGAGCGCGUAGGCGGCUUUGCAAGUCAGGUGUGAAAUCCCGGGGCUCAACCCCGGAAGAGCAUUUGAUACUGUGGAGCUUGAGUAUGGGAGAGGGAAGUGGAAUUCCUGGUGUAGCGGUGAAAUGCGUAGAUAUCAGGAGGAACACCGGUGGCGAAGGCGGCUUCCUGGACCAAUACUGACGCUG